AAUUGUUUAGUUUAUAAUAAAACGAAUAUUUUGAAAAUAUUUAAAAAGAAAGUAUUUCUUAACAACUG
rnacentral:tRNA from 1 species